AUUGAACGCUGGCGGCAUGCUUUACACAUGCAAGUCGAACGGCAGCACGGGAGCAAUCCUGGUGGCGAGUGGCGAACGGGUGAGUAAUACAUCGGAACGUGCCCAGUAGUGGGGGAUAGCCCGGCGAAAGCCGGAUUAAUACCGCAUAUGCCCUGAGGGGGAAAGCGGGGGACCGAAAGGCCUCGCGCUAUUGGAGCGGCCGAUGGCUGAUUAGCUAGUUGGUGGGGUAAAGGCCCACCAAGGCGACGAUCAGUAGCUGGUCUGAGAGGACGACCAGCCACACUGGGACUGAGACACGGCCCAGACUCCUACGGGAGGCAGCAGUGGGGAAUUUUGGACAAUGGGCGCAAGCCUGAUCCAGCAAUGCCGCGUGUGCGAAGAAGGCCUUCGGGUUGUAAAGCACUUUUGUUUGGAAAGAAAAGGUCAGUGCUAAUACCACUGGCUGAUGACGGUACCAAUCGAAUAAGCACCGGCUAACUACGUGCCAGCCGCCGCCGUAA
rnacentral:rRNA from 1 species